rnacentral:lncRNA from 1 species
UUUUACUUCCCUCUCUUUGUUUCACACUAAAUUCGUAAAUUUCACCAAAAAAAAACACUCAAAUUCGAAAACAUCUCUUCACUUCUUCAGUCUUCACCUCCUGCUCCGAUCUCACCAGCUGCCUUGGAGGCUGCACCAGCCCGUCGUUAUCGUCACCGCCGCACUCGUGACUCGCAGGAGAUCGUCCGGAACCGGUACCUGUCUUCAGAACACACAGAUUCUCCUUCCUUUUCUGUUCGACGCCAAUUCUAGGUCAAAUCCAAAAUCCACAAAUCGUCAGAUCGACUAAUCAUCUUCCACUCUCUUCGAGCUCCUCCAACUAAGUCUGACUCUGAAUCUAGUGCAAAGGUACGAUCCUCUAAUGAAUCAACUUUCUUGUAGCCGAUGGAACUUCUGACGGAAUCUGUAAAUUGUUUUUUUUUCACGUUUUUUGGUUUCCUGUUAUUAUCUUCGUUCUGUGUUUGGCUUGAGCAUUCUCUCAUGUCAAGAGUCUUCAACAACCCGAAGCUUCUGCGUUUGAUUCCUUUGGUAGCUUUGCCGUUCGUAAUUUCCAGAGGACCACAUCUUGACUGUCUGUCUUCAAAAUUGGUCUAAGAUUUCGUGAGCCUGAAUUUCGAUCUCUGAAUCUGAUUUGGAAUAUUAGUUAGCAAAUAGAGGACAUUAGCUGCAUCUUUGGUUUGCAUAGCAGAUUUCUGGCAGUAAGGCGAAGUAUACUCGUUAGAAGUUCUCAUUUCUCUGUGUAAACAAACGUCCAUGCAUUUUACGGUUUCCUCACUUUCCUGGUGUUGUUGUCUUUGUUCUGUGUUUUGCUUGAAUAUUCUCUCAUGUCGAGAGUUUUCCACGAUCCAAAGACCUGCGAAGAUUGAAUAAGCUUCUGCGUUUGCUUCCUUCGGUAGCUUGGUUUCUUUUUGAAGCUUUUACUGGUUAGAGAUUUCCAAAGGACACUGCUGUUGUGAACUCCUUUGCAUCUUGAAUUCUGCCCUUAAUCGGUCUAAUAUUCCGUUCCCCUGCAUUUCGAUAUCUGAUUUGGAAUGUUCAGUUAGCAACUACAGAACAUUGGCUCAAUCGUUUGUUUAAGAUUGCGGCAGUUAGGCGAAGUGUAAUCAUUGGAAAUUCUCAUUUCUCUGUGUAAACAACGCUCGUUAUCUUGACAUCUUUGUACUGGUGUCGCCAACACUUGUGGUGCAAGUUGCUACUACAUUUCUCACGAUUUUUCAUCUGCAUUUCCUUACUGAUAUACUGUUUCGAUGCAAAAACAAAUUAGUCUACAAGCUGCCUAAGAAAGCUCUCCGCGUGAGAGAACCCCAGUUGCGCUCCAUGGCCCCGUCACCAAAUCCAUUCCAUCCCGGCGCCUCCGUCAACACCAUGAAGGAUGCGCCUCUACCACCACCGCCACUGCCUCACCAACUCGUCACUGUCAAUGGUUCUGACUGCGACAAGUCUACCUGCAACCACAGCCCAGCCACAAACCAUCGUGUCGGAUCGACGAUGGCAAACACUAAUGGAUCCACCAGCCUUGAUGGCGAAACCUCCUGGCAGCCAGACGUUGCGGAUCCACACUGAUCAUCCGACAUUUGCCCAGCCGAGGUCCUAACCUCCCUCGAUGAUAAUCUUAAUCAGAAUGAUAAUCUUAUUUUUGUCACAUUUGGGCCGUUCUUUUUUAAAUUUUCUUUUUAUUAUUAUUAUUUUUAAAAAUAACUUACAAAAAAGUUACUCUACUUAAAUUCAGUAAUUAAUAGGCCUACAACUUUUCAAAUUUUGUCAAACGAGAAAUUGGCCUUAGCGAAUUUGAUUUAAAUUAUCCCAACAUCUUCAUAAUACUUACUGCAUCGCUUAAAUGUUUAUGUUUAUGUUCGGAUACCAAUCGAAGAUCGAUACAUAUUUUAUCAACGACUCCGAUAUGUUAUAAAUAGCAAAACCAACAUUAUUACAAACAUAAUUACUAAGUGCAUUGGCACUGCUAUGCUAUCACCCUAAUUGCGACUUAGGUUCUUAACACGCCAUCAAAAUAACACUCCUCAUAUACCCUAAGAUCACCUCAUACACCAACUCUAAUUUAAGACCAUCCAAUCAGCAGAAACAUAUCUCCCUCUAAUUCUUUUCUAUUUUCGAUUAUUACAGAAAUUAAAGAGAAAGGGGUCGAGCAAAUUGUGGCCAUCUCUCUACGUGUGCACAUAAACAAAC